GCAGCACUGCGGUUUCUCUUGCUCAGCACAUCUAAAAGAUAAGAAAGAGCUUUGUGAUCAGUGACAACUAGCGAGGAGAUCAGUGAAACAGAAAGAGAUGCAGAAUAAUGUUCCCCUUCCCUUUAAAAAUCAGGCAGUCACAAAGCCUCUCCGUUAAAGCUUUGGUUCUGACUUGCCCACACCGCUCUGUAGCACUCGUCUGGACGUGGAAGGACAGCCUGUCUUCUCUUCCUCACUUAAAUGGUGAAUCUGCAUGCUGCCAUCCAGAUAACUGCAAGCACAAUUAAGGUGAACACACUUGCUGAGUCACCCAAGCAGGUACUGCAGCUCAGCUGAGGGGGAGGCACCUCACUGAAGAGGAUCUCAGUUGUGCCCUGAGCAAGCUGGCACCUAUCACCAAUUCUGUACUCACUGAUGGAAGACAACAAGAGGAAGCAUCAGCAAUCAGCUCCUCUGCCUCCCUCCUCCCUGCAGCCAACAGGGCUCAUAGUUGUGCUGCUGGGAGGAUGCUUCCCAGAAGCUGAAAAAUGGGCCUCACAUCCACGUGUCUAAAACUCUGCAAUUUUAAUGCUGUAACUGAUUCUGCUAGAAACAAUUGGUUUGGGUCGAAUUUAUGCUGUAAGAUGUACUCACCAUGCUGCUGUUUUUAUCUCACUGGGUGUUCUUUCGUGUGGAAUUCAGUAGAAUAUCCUUUCUUUUUCUCUCAGGACCUAAAAUAACCAUCAUACGUGUGUGUGUAUAUUUAGAGAGAGAAAAUAUAUUUGUACAUACAUAUAUAAAAUGUCUGGCUGGCAGAUACUGCUACUUUUUUCCAACGUUCAGCCCAAAAUAGAUGCUUCCACAGGACAUGUAUCUUCACAGAGGUAAGCAAUCACAUUUAGUCCAAAAGAACUCUAUAUAGAAUGCUUGGCUUAUGUAAAUAUUUGGAAGAUUUGCCUAUAGAGCAUACCAAAAAAACUGGAACAAAAUAGAAGUAUUGGCAACAGGAUUUCAAAAGGGAGAUGUUCCUUCCAGCCCUGGCACUUUGUGGCUAUUAAUCUGAAGUUCUCCAAACUGACAUGCAGAAACAUUUCUGUGUCAUAGUCUGGAAGGAUGCUGUAAUUCCUGCAUCACUGGUUACACACCUUACUGUCAGUGCAGAUAUUGCAACAGAGCCGAGAAGCCUCACGAUGCCCUGUGUGACUGCGACUGCAUGAAUUCACCGUUCGUAAUGGCAGCCUUUACUCCAGGCUUAGUCUUAAUCUGUUAUUAAUUACAAGUUUUACAUCAAGUGGCAGCAAAAGAUGCCUGACUGAAAGCACUGUGCACUGGAAUCCUGUCUGAACUGGCUGUGGGAGCAGCUCUGGCCCUGCAGGCUGUGAGCUUGAGCCUGCAGGGCUGGUUGCCAGCUCUGUGUGCUGCUCUUCCAAGCCAGCUGCAGAAGAUGGAAGAAAACCAUCCCAGCUGACAGAUGUAGGGCCGCUCUGUGAGCUGUGAACAUGCUGUUUGUCUGCAGGGAUUUACUUCAGGUUAGUUAAACUGAGAGAAAGACUGUAGGUGCACAGUUGUACUGCAGGUAUCCAACUGUGUGCCAGCACCCUGGCUCCACUGUGCCCUCAGCCCCCAGCCAUGCUGUGCUCCCCCAACCAGGGCAGGCCAGGAUGAGGCCCAGCACCCAGCCCAGCUGCCAGGAGGAAGGAGUGGGGCUGGGGAACACAGGAGCCACGUGGUGGAGGCAGCCCUCGUGUCGUGACAAACAGAACGCAGGGAUUGGGAAACCACUGCUUGGCCACAUUCCUGUGCUGAAGAGCUCCUGCAAGUGUGUUUACACAAACCUUGCUCUGUCGAUUCAGAACUUCCAGAAAGCAGCACGCUCUGGGGCCGCACAGCAGCCCGGCUCCACGGCUCAAGCUGGCACAGCACUUAGGAAAGCUGAAUUUUAAAUGAAUGCUUCAGUCUGCUGAUGCCAAAGCAAAACGUGCUUUGCUGAAUGCUGAGCCCAAGUGAGUAAGCAUGCAAAAUGUUCAGGCAAAAGCGUAAUUGUUCUAAGAGGAAGGAAAACAAACGGCCAUCAAAGCGGUGUGGACUUCUGAACUGCUCAGCAUGAGGGAGUUCUCUUGAACCAGGCAAUAACAAACACCUGCGGAACAAUUAACAGGUUUUCUUUAUCCUAAUUAGGCAAAGCACAAGCUGAAAAGUUCUCUCUAAGCUCAGGUGAUGGAUGGUGGCACUGAAUGUCCCUUUCAGCAAGAACAGCACAGCUCGAAUCUUUCUGGUCAGGUCAGCUUUACAUCCCAGUAAGGAAUGAGCAGCAGGCAUCAGAACCACUGCAGCUUGGAGUGAAAUCGGUGCAUGUCAGCAAAGCUCUGCAAAGCCUCCUGCUCUUUACACGAGCAUCAAUCCAUGCGUUCCUUUUUAAGGCUUCCUAUUGAUAGCAAAGCAUUCUGGGCUAAAAUUAUCAGUGCUGUUUGCAGAUGCAAGCCUGUGAAAUGUGCAAAGCCAGGAUUUUUAAGGAAUUUUCUAACAGAAAUCUGCUUGCUUUAAAGUAGUGGACUGGGCAGCUCCCCGCAGUGCUCCUCAGCCUCCGUCUGCCCAUUAAAAGCUGAACUAAGCUCUGGGAGAACUGUUUUGCUCUUUCUGAAGUUAGAGCUUUAUCUUGGAGCUCAGCGUGUGUAACUCGUCCCCAGGGGGCAGGACAGCUUGGGCAAACAAAGAAUUUCCAUGCAUCACUUUGGCCCUUACCCAGUGUGGGAAAAGGUAACAGAAAUGGAAGCUGUGCGUGGUCACAAGGCCAUGAAGUUACUGAGUUGGCAGAUGAUCAUCUUGAUUUCUAUCAUGGGAGCCCUUAAUUGGAAUGCUUUUAUCUCUCCUUAUCUCCAAGCACACGUCUUCCUUUUCCUGAUCUCACUGAAAAAGCCUUUUUUUCUCUUCAGAUUUAGGUCCAAAUAAAAACUCUGGUAAUCAUAUGAGGGUACUUCUUCAGCCCAGCCCUGCUUUCUUAUUUACAUUGGUUGAGAGCACCUCCAAAGAAGCUGUAAAGUGGAGGAAGACUGAAUUUACUGUUAGAACUGAGCAAAAAGGGGGGAAUUAAAGAAAGGGGGAAAAAUGUGUUUACAGCACUACCUGCUUCCAACAACAACAGGCUCUGUGUGGGGAAGGGGCUCAGAGCUUGGGGUUUGUAUGUGGAACCCACACCUUCGUGCAGAAAAGCAGGAAAUUCCAGAGCUGUGCAGGGAAUGUUUGUUUGCUUUUAACCCAUAGGGAAAUCACUGCAUUAAUGGAACCUGCAGUUACGUGAAUUCAUGCUCACCAGGAGAAAGAAGGGGAACAAAAAGUUGUUUUGCUCUCUCGUGGCCCCGCACCGGUAAGCUUUCAAGAUGCUAAGGCAAUAUAUGCUUAUUUUCUCUAUGGAUUAAACAACAAAAACGUGGUCAGGUAUUUUAAAGAAGCCUGCAGCAUUUCAGUGGAGCCCUUAAAGCUGACUACAAGCAUUGAAAUGCUGCUUCCUAUUUAAGACUUUCCUGUGCCUAGUUUGUGUUGUGGGGAAAAGAUUCAGUCCUUUCUGAGAACAGUUCUUUAGUAAGGUUGCUACCCAGAAUCACCUGACAUAAAUAUCCAUGCUUUACCCUUUUACAUUUCCAUGAACUCCAUGCAGCACUACAGGAUGGGGGUGGUUGUCUGAAACUCUCUGUGAUGUACGCAGGCUUAUGCAAGCAGGAGAACUAAAUAAAGAGCCUAAUUGUACAGACACUGGAAGCCCUUUAACCACGCUGUUCCUGUCCCUCCACCCUGUAAUAGUCCUGGAUGUGUUUCUCUUAUGUCUCAUAAGGUCUGUUUCACAGAUUAGAAAGCUGAGGCAUGCACAAAGCAAGUAAAUAUGAGAGCUUUGGCUUUUCAGCUCUAGAUAAGACAGUGCAGGAAACUGGAACAAUCCCGGUUGAAAAACAGGAUACAGAGCAGCAGUUCUUAAACUUGGCUCCCACCCCCUCCCCCAGCAUGGGUUGUUUGUUCCUGCUUGCUUGAGUAACACUUAUUGGAGGUGGAGGGACACAGGACAGCUGUAAAACAUGCAUAGAGGAGGGGAUGGGCUGCCAGAGAGCUGCAGAGAAGGGGUGAGGGACGCUGCUGGAGGGACAGCAGCGAGAGGAAGUUGUGCUUGAGCACGUCGGCUUGAAAGGAGCAAGCAGGGGGCCGAGAGUGGAGGAGAAAUUGCUCGUGGCUGCCAAAAACCAUUGAACUUGUCCCACAACUUCUUAGCGAGGGCCUUUGGGGUGGAUUAAUCAUUUCCCAGCACAUCGUUCUUCCUGUUCUCUGCCACGUUUGUUCCUUUCCUCCCCGCAAUGUGCCACGGCCUUCUCAGCGCUUCUGCUCUGUUCUGCUCCACCUCUCCUUCCCUGCUUGCAGAAAUGCAGUUCCCGAGAUACUUUGUACUUGCUACAGGGUGGCAUGUCUGUAUUUUGAGAGAAAGCAACAUCCAGCUGUGUGAGAGAGGGCCGGAGCUGACUGCACGAACCAGCCCUCAGAGUUAAAUGUUAAAUGUUAGCAUACAGUAAACCACAUUCCUUAAACAAGAGCUUUUUGGUCCAAAGAACUGGACACAUUUUUUCAUCCGAGUCCUAAUUAUGUCUUCUCUUGAGGGUCUGCAUUACAUGGCUGCCGUCCUUGUAACAGAACUGUGAGCUCUAAAUCAAGUCUUCUUCAAACAGAGCCAAUAAAAGCCUGCAGCCAGCUGGCAAUGGCUCGCCUGCUCCAACAAGCAGUAAUCAGCCUCUAAAAACAGAUGUAGUAAAGGAAAAAAUUAAUUUUAAAACACGAACUGCUAUAAAUAGGCAAAAAAAAAAAAAAAAAAAGUAAAAGCUGAAUUUGGAAUAGGGCAAAUCUGUUACUUGGGUGGAAAAUGCUACAGCAUCGAUCACAAUUGUGUUGCUUAUCCUGUUAGUGCUGCCAUUUGUGAGCAGCCUCACACUUAGAAUGAGUGCCAUCAGGGGGGAGGGGGCUGUUAUUUUCCAUAACUAUUCUACAUGUAGGCUGAUUUAUUUUUCCUUUUUUCUUUUCUUUUCUUUUUUUUUUUUUUCCUUCCAGACCUGCGCUAGGGGUGAGUGCCCCAUUGUGUCAGCAGGGAGCAGACUGUGGGAAAUUGCUCUAUUCCCCAGCAGCCGAUUGUGUUAAAAUAAUCUUUCACUUAAUUAACAGGAGAGGAUGUCUGUUGGCAAGAAGGUGUUUGUACAAGUUUUCCAUUCUUGUAGCUGUUCGCCUCACUCUUUGCGGUAUUUUUCAGGAAGCUCGAGCUUCACUAGUCAUGUGGUAACAUCAUCGUCUAUGGUAAUUUCCUACGACGAUUCUAACCCUCACCAUUUCACGAAGCCUGCGCACGCCACAGCCAUUACCUGCGCUCCUCCCCGCCUCUUCUGCAGGGAGCGGACUCACGGCGCGGCCCCGCCAGAGGGCGCUCGCCCGCCGGGAUGAGCUUUGCGCCCCGCCCACCGUCAAGUCCCCGCCCACCUCCGCCUCCCCGCCAAUCAACACCGUCCCUUCCAUCGACGUUCCCCGCCCACCGCAGUGGCAGCGCCAAUCAAUACUGUCCUUCCCAUCGACGUGCCCCGCCCACCGCAGUGGCCCCGCCCACCAUCACGGCUCCCCCUGCUCGAUUGCCCAGCAGGCGAGAAGGGCGCUGACAGCAAUGGCGCUCGGGGGCGGUCGCAGUGCUGGGCUGCGGGAGGUCAGGCUGGUGCUUGGAGGUGAUGAUCUCCAAGGUCUUUCCCGCCUCAAAUGACUCCACGAUUCUCUGCACUCGAUGUGCUGACUCGAAGGAAGCCGGCCGUCUUGCUGCUGAAAAUACAGCGCUGCGCAGUGCUGACUGGUGGUGCUGCUCAGCUGAGCACCUCCCCGUGCGCAGCCCUCGCAUCAGCGAUAAGGCUGUUAGUGUAUCUUCAGUGCUUUCAGCGUCUGUUCUCUCCGUUAUUUUUUUUAGGAUUUAAUAUUAACAUCCCAUUUGUCAAUCUGCUAGAAGGAACUUGCUUCUCUUCUGUUCCGUGGUUGAUGUUCAUUGCAGUUUUAUCUAUUUCUGGACAGUCUUUUUAGCUGAAGUUAUAAAGGCGCAUUUCCUAACAUCUACUGAACUAAAGAGAAACCUGCAGUGCUGUUGGCUGGAAGGAGCAUCACCCAAAGUUCCCAGCGCUGACCUGUGCAUUUGAUUUGACCUUAACCCAAACGCUUUUUCAUCUGUUCUGCAUCACACAUUGCCUAACCACAAGCAGGGGGUAAAUGCUUCAUAAAACACUCUGCAUGAAAUGCGGUAGAAAAAUUGUUAUUAAAUGAUAUUUGUGGUGAAACCGUGACUUGUAAUUAGACCUAAUUGUUCGCAAUGAGACAUACUAACCUAUAUAUAUACAUAUGUAUAUAUGUAGCAGUAGGGAAUGAUUUCAACUACUGACACCUUAACUCUUUUCCAGGCUUGAGGAUUUCACCUUUUUGGAAGCACUUUGGAUCUGUGCUGACUCAGUAUGGGGCAGAUGCAAUGGGAGACAGCCUGACGACAGAGGACAGAGGUGAUGAGCUAGCAUUUCAUCGAACAAUACCUCAGCCUGGCAGCGUCACCUGUGCUGAUGGAAGAAUCAGUGUCAUGCAGCAGCCCAGUAAUGGAGCUGGGAGAACCAGGUUCCCAAGCAGCAGUGAGACAAGCAGGCACUUGGACUUGCAGUUCUGAGUUACACAAAGCCCUCCGAGUUCCCACACGAGUGAGAUCUCUUUAAACCCUGCUUGCCGAGCCAUCGAGACCCCCUGGGUGGUUUAUCAGGAAACUGGCACCAUCAUUAGAGCACAAUAAAAUAAAAUCCUUGUAAGGAAAUAGAAGAGCACGCCGGUCUCGUUCUGAACAGAUUUGUAGCAUGGAAGGUGAUUGAACUGCACCAAACUUUUAUUGAGAAAAAAAAAAAAACAAGAAGGCUCUGAAUAAAGAAAAGAAAUACAGAACUUCAACAACACAGCAGAGGACAGAAAUGAAGUUUAUUUCACUGCCCUGGGAUAGCACAGGGAGAUGUGCUUGUAAGGAUGGUUGUUUGUAUAAAUAAAUGUUCAUUCUUGGCAGUGGAAUGCAAACUAUGCUGAAGGGCUGGAAACAGACCACUUUGUAAGGCUGAGGCCAGAGUAAGGGAAAGAUGAAGCGAGGUUGUGGAGAGGAAAUUCACAUUCAUUUUUAGCAACUUGGAGAGUUUCUCAAGCAUGUUUGACAUUUUUAAUUAUGCUGAUGUAGAGCCUAUUCAAGGACAAAAGAAGUCAGGAUUACAGGGUGAACAAUUAGGAAAUUUCACAGCGGCCAGCUAGGGAUAUUGUUGCCUGUGGGCCUGGAGACUUUGCUGAAAUAUGGGAUCAUCUUUCCUACUUUCGAGACAAAUGGAAUUUGAGCAUCUUGCAGAAUCCUCCCCCAGGUCAGGAGCCUCAGAUCUGCACUGUUUUACUAAAGGUGCAUUUUUGAUGGCACUGCAAGGAGAUCAGUCUGAACUGUUGCUUUGUGUCCAAGCUUUCCUGCAGGGCUUCCUGAGGAGGCGAGGAACAAUCUCACUGCAUCUGCACCAACUGUUUCAGAAUCCAUAACAAUUACAGUGGGAAAUAAGACCGCAUUUUCUUGUGGAGAAGAGGAUCAGCUCUGCUGCAUCAAAUCACACAGCCACGGCCUGUUUGUCCACCCUCCACGCUCAGACUGUUGUACAUCAUGGCCACAGCAUCUCGUUUUGUUUGGGUACCACUGGAGGAGGGCUGUGAGCGCUCAUUCACCAGCCUUCCCUGCUGAAGAACUCGCAAGGACAUCCACCUGUAUUUCAGUUCCUGUCUCGGUGUGACACGCACAGCACUGGAAUGGCAGGAGUUCACCAUUUGUUGCUGAGCAGAAACAUUUUGGAAAAAAAAAAAGAUAAGGGAGAGGUUUUAAAUGCACCCCUGCUCUAUUUGCCCAAGAUCCCAUGCCUUGUGUGCUAAUGCGAGGGCUGCUACUCGUGCUUUUAAGCGUGGUACAAUUGAAUAGGAACCUGCAUUCUCUUUGAGCUAAUGGAAAGUCACAGUGGAGGUAUCCAGCUUCUGGGCAUGAAUAAAUCAUCAAGGGUAUGAAUUAUUCAGUGAGCAUCCCCACAGCAUGUGCUACAUUCAGACUCGAGAGGCAGAAUCCUCACUGUGUGGGUUUUUAUCCCCCCAAAUUACAAAUGGUACGACAGGCUAAUGAAUCUAAAUAUUCAAAUGAAAUCUUGGGAAAUUAGAUUAGAAGAAUAAUUUAGUAAAAAAAACAACAACAGAACAGUAAAAAGGUGCAUGAAAGAGCUGAGGUACUUCAGCCUGGCUACAGCUACAAUGAUCAGAUGUUCUUCUUAGCUCGGUGACACCGUUGAAUCAAGCUGUCCACAACAGUCAGAAUCACACUGGGAAAUAUGAAUAAAUAGUGGCUCAGGAAAUUGGAAACACCGGUUGGAGGAAAGAGCUGAAAUGAUGUGGGCACACAAACAGGGCAGAAACCGACCUGUGCCUCUAGCAUCUUGUGUGCGGUUCUGGGGGUAAAUUAGAAGGGGGCAUCACCAAACCAGACAUGAAUCCACUCCGACACAGGCUGGAAGAAAUAAAAAAGCCCAAUGCACUCAACAGCCAGGAAAUGGCUGGUUCAUCCCUCACAGGAAAUGAGUCACCCGAAAGCAACUGCGAGGAACAGCGAAGACAGGGAAGUUCUGAAAUAACACGAGCUGAUAACAGCGUAACACGUACAGAUAAGUCUUUCAUUUUGUCAUUCGUUAGCAAGGAGGCAAGAAAGGCAAAAAUUCAGAUUUUGUGUUAUUCUUGCAAUUUUAAUUUGGUGUAAAUACUUGCAGCACAAAACCAAACCAGGGGACAGACGGUUCCAGUGCUGCUGAAUGGGGGAUAUUGUAAAAUGGCAGCACUAAUGAGAAGUUUCAUGUGCAGAUAAAAUUGCUUGCAAAGUGCUAACCAUCUCUGUCCUUGGAAGGGAAGCAUCAGAUUGCUGUGUGGCACAGCAAACACAACAUUCAGUUUUGCAGCUCGAGCUGCUUUGAAACUUUUUUUUUUCCUGUCUAAUAUUGAAAAUAUAUAAAGCUCAAUUCCAAAACAGUGCAUCAAUCACCUACCAACUGGUCCCCUUUUUGAUAACUCUACAGUGCCAAACUCUUCUGGAUCAGUGGAAAAAAUACUUCCUUUGCUAAUGAUGAAUGCUGCUGGUAAAACUGAAAGCCUACCGUUAGGAAACGACCUCAGCACCGAGCCAGCACAGCUUGUGUGCUCACCCCUCUUCCUCCAGUAACCCAGCUCUCUGCCUGUGCAGCUUGUAACUCCUGUCCUGCAGUGCUGCUGGUCCCCCUUCCUCUCCAUUCCUCAGGCUGAUCAGCAGACACACAGGUCUUAUUUUGGAGUGAUGAACACAGCAGUGAGAUUGCUCUUUCUCUUCUAGCUCCAGCCUAACCAUUUCCAGGGCUGUGAUGUGGCAUCGUGAAUGAUGCACAUAAGAAUGUUCUUGGCAUCCCAAGAUGUUGCUAAAGCUGCAAAUAUUCUUUCAAACAAAACAGCCGUGUUAAUUGAAAGUGGCUUAAAAGAAAUAAGAGCAACAAAAAGAAACCAAGUUAUUUGAAACAUCCCCUGCCACUCCAGAUUGCAUUGGGGCUAUACUAUAGCAGAGUUAUAAAUGAAAGUGUUUCCUGGUUUAGAAGUUUGCAAGGUACUGAGAAUAAAAAGGGAGAGGAGGGUGCAGGAAAGGAAUGUUUUGUCAUUGAAGCACUAUCCAGGAUAUACACUACAGACAGUUCAUUUUCCUCAUCAGAGACCACAUUUUUGGAGGGUUCCUGUUUUCAGUUCACUGAUAGAAGGGCAGGAUUUAGCAGUCAGCAGAAGAGGGAAAAAGCUUUCUAGUUUGCCAAGAAUACAGUUACACAGAAAAGCAUCCUGUGACCGUAGCACAGGCUGCAGGGCUAUUUAAAAACACAAAGAAAAAAAGGCAGGAAAAAGGUCCUUUUCAUUUCAGAGGGUUCUCUUCCCAGCGUGGUAGAUUAAACUCGGGCAGAUAACGUGGGCAGGAAGGGCUCAGAAAGAGAAAAACCUGGGUGUGCCUCUCCAAGGCCUUUCUGGCCAUGUGAGUAACUGGAGCUGGGGGAGGGUGGGACCUUGUGCUGGAUUCUACCAAAGAGGCUGAUUCAUAUUUUUUUCCUUCUCCUCCUCUUUUCUUUUUUCUCUUUUCCUCUUUUUCUUUCUCACGUGGCUAUUUUCACGUGGGCUUCUUUUUCAAAACAAAAAGAUACAGUCAGGUCAUUCUCCCAGAUACUGGCGUUGUUUGGUUUUGGGGUUUUUUUUUUCUUCAUAAGGUAUUAUCUUGUUCUCAAAUGCGUUUUCCUGUUUGGCCCAGAGAAAUGCCGCGUUACACAAUAGCAUCCUUAGUCAGUUUGCUACCAUUGUGUCAAAAAAGAUACUGGAGUUUCAGUUAAGUAUUACAGUAAGAUGAUAAAAGGCUGCAUCAUCAGCAUUUCUGCUAGAGAAUCUGAGUAAGCUUGCACAAAUUUGAACAGUUUUUUUAGUUAGGCCACAACUGCACCAGAGGUCUUUGAAAUAUAAUAAACCCUUGAUGGCAUCCACCCAUGUUUGCUUUUCCAAAGAUAUCUGAAAAGCAGCUGGAAUAUCUGCACUUGCAAUAAACUAAUUUCAACAGCCACCAGAAAGUGAGAUGUUAGAUAAUAAGAAAUGAAACUCUUCCAUGUGAAACACAGCUUAAAAUAGGCACAGUUGGAGAAAGUGUGUUAUGGUUUGUGAGGCAGGAAUCAAAUUCCUGCUCUGCUUUGAUCAAAUCAGGUUUAACUCUCUGGCUCUCAGCUCAACGACUCUAAAGCAAAUCACACAAUCCCAUCAUUUUCCCCUUCUCUGACUCAUCUAAGUUGUAAAUCUCUUAUCAGUGGCACAAGCUAAGCUUCCUUUCAUAUGCAGCGCCUAGCAAAUUAACUUGCAUUUCAGAAGGGGCCUUUGGUCGCCUGUAGUAAUAGGGAAGAACAUAACUCUUCUCCAUUUUGAACUUUACUGUUGCAGCAAAGGGCAAAUGGCUGGGAGCCCGACGAAGCUCUUGAUAAAAUCUGAGCUCAUUGGGAGCUCUUGCGUGUCACAGACGGUGCCAAGAGUGAGCUGACAAGCGAAGCAUCCCACCGCUCUAUGAGAAAACAGGGCUCUGGGCUAUAAGAACCAACACAGGAAUACGUAUUCAAGAAAAACUUACAGCUGGCUUCACAUUUUGAAUGUUGGUUUGUUUUUUCUUUCUUUCUCCUAUAGUUACCUGUCUAGUGUAUGCUUCAGAAGGAAAUGAGAACGCAGAAGGCAUGCCCAUACCUGUCAGAACUACCUAGCAUUAAACAGAAGCGCUGCCCAAGGACACGACUCCAUGUUUCAUCUGCACUUUUAAAUCUUCGCCCAAACCCUUUGCAGGUGCCACAGACACCGUUGUGUUACAGCUCCUAUGCUUCCAUCCAUGUGUUUGUUUACUGCUGACAACAGAGGCAAGAUUGGCAGAUGUGUACAAAUGUUUUCACAAAAAUGUCAGCAGUGGGUGUGCGAGUGAGGGAUGAGGGAUCCUUUCUGCAGCAAGACCAGUAUUAUGUUGCCUAGAAACACUCAAAACAGGGCUGCAGCUAAUGAAGCCAAGAUCAAUGUCGACCGAACGUUAGAUAUUUGAUUCAGUGCUACACAAGGGACUCGUAGGGAGGCCUGGGACAAUUAAUUUUUGUGCUGCAGUCAAAGGAUAAGGUUAUGACAAGCAAGGCAAAGACAAUAAAUAAAGCUGGUAGAAUUCCCAGCGAGCAAAUAUUGGCUAUAUUUAAACAGAAACAUGCAGCCUUUCAUCCACAUGGCGUGAGCAGG